rnacentral:lncRNA from 1 species
GAGAUAUACCAUGUUCAUGGAUCAGAAAAAAUCAAUACAAUGAAGACAUCAGUUCUCCCCAAAUUGCUACAUAGAUAUGAUGCAACCCCAAUCAAAACCUCAGCACGACCUUUUUUGAGGACAAACUGACAAGCUUAUUCUAAAACUCAUAUGAAAUGAAAUGCAAGCCAGGCAGGGGCAAAUAUUUGAGAACCAUGGAAACCACGCUUCCUGGCUUGGAGUUUUUCUCGCAGGCACUGAGAAGGCAUUUCAACAUUAAGCAGAAGGACGACAUGACUGACCAGUGUUUUAGCUACAUCACACUGAAAUCCCAUGAGCAGCUUCCCGGCGGAUGCAGGAGCAGAGCAUGGACUGGGUGGCAGUGAGCGUGUGCAUUACCUACACCCUGAGAAGGAAUGAGGAGAUGGGCAGCCUCCUCUGGAGAGCAUCUUCAGGAGGAUGCAGGCUUCCAAGAAGAAAGAUGGAGAGAAGCUCUGUACACAGAAGGCAAGUUCAGCAAAUGUUCACAGCUUCCAAGGGCCUCCCUCAUAAAAUGUCCAUGCUAAGUGAAACAGUUUCUUCACCUUGAGAAUCCCAGCUGUUUAUCAUGGUGAAAGUCCAGUGAAUCGGGAGCCCAAGAGAAAACUGCUCUGCACACAGAAUUUAGCAUUGACAGCUCUCACAGUCACUUUCAUGCACUUUGUACUCACAAAAGUAACCCCCUCGGGGCUGCGUGAACUCUGAGAAGUUCUGUGUUUCCAGCAGGGCCCAGAUUAAGCAGUUUUUGAUUAUUCAAUUGCUGACUGAUUUGAUCUGAGCUAACUGUUCAGGCUUAGUUGCCUCACUCAGAAAAGCCCUUGGGACAAAAACCUGCGUCUACUCUGCACAGGCCACAAAACCUACAAACAGAAAUUACAACAGGCCUUGAGGUACGCUCAGCACACUCCUGCAGGCCCACGGCUCAUUCUAAAGUCUGAAUAUACAAACCUGAAAACGUCCCAAGAAUGCAGUGAACGCUCUGAAGUUUGCCGGUAUGUUGACAAAACCCACCCCUAAUAAAUACCUGCCUCCCUGAGAAAGGUUUGCCA